GGUUCCCUUCUUCGCCCCAAACGCUAUGGUUCUGUCGGACUCCCCCUCUCUCCGUUCUCGAUCUUUCCAUCGCCCUCUCCGAGCUCUGAGGAUGCCCUAGCACUGUCGAGCUCGCCUGAGCCCCUUCGAAGGCGCCUUCCCGCCGGAGUGCCGCUCGAGCGCCUUACCGUUGGAUCGCUCCGCCGAGCUCACUCCUCACCACCCCCUGCUGGUUGUUACAGCGAUGAAGGGGGGUGGUGGCGGCGGCGGAGCAAAGGAGGAGGAAGAGGCGGCGCGGCGGCGUGCGGGAAUGGAGGGCGGCGGAGGAGGUGCCGGAGCAGCCGCGGAGCGGAUUAGGGUUCCGACUCUCACGGUGGCCAUUGUUAUCGCGCGCGUGCACGCUCUCUCUAUGGAGAUAUUUUUUUUCGGGGGAUUUGGGCCGGGCUUUAUGUGUUGGGCAUGGAGAGGGUGGGACCAGAUACGAAGAAGUCGUUACAGGCCACGAAGUCGGCGCUGUGUUUCCUCGUACAGUGUAUACGUUGCCGACUUUGGUUGGUUCGUUGUACACAUCUUCGUAGCCCCCAAGCAAUACUAUUUUACCGUUUGUUUGAAGCAACUUUUUCUAAGUUUAACCAACCGUUUUUAGAGCAA